rnacentral:rRNA from 1 species
AUUGAACGCUGGCGGCAGGCCUAACACAUGCAAGUCGAACGAGUGGCGGACGGGUGAGUAAUGUCUGGGAAACUGCCUGAGGGAGGGGGAUAACUACUGGAAACGGUAGCUAAUACCGCAUACCAUCAGAUGUGCCCAGAGGGGAUUAGCUAGUUGGGGGGGUAACGGCUCACCAGGGCGACGAUCCCUAGCGGGUCUGAGAGGAUGCACAGCCACCCUGGAACUGAGACACGGUCCAGACGCCUGCGGGAGGCAGCAGUGGGGAAUAUUGCACAAUGGGCGCAAGCCUGAUGCAGCCAUGCCGCGUGUAUGAAGAAGGCCUUCGGGUUGUAAAGUACUUUCAGCGGGGCGGCGUUACCCGCAGAUGAAGCACCGGCUAACUCCGUGCCAGCAGCCGCGGUAAUAC